UACGAAGGGGGCUAGCGUUGUUCGGAAUCACUGGGCGUAAAGAGCACGUAGGCGGACUUGUUAGUCAGGGGUGAAAUCCCGGGGCUCAACCCCGGAACUGCCCUUGAAACUGCAAGUCUUGAGUCCGAGAGAGGUGAGUGGAAUUCCUAGUGUAGAGGUGAAAUUCGUAGAUAUUAGGAAGAACACCAGUGGCGAAGGCGGCUCACUGGCUCGGUACUGACGCUGAGGUGCGAAAGCGUGGGGAGCAAACAGG
rnacentral:rRNA from 3 species